rnacentral:rRNA from 1 species
CUAAAUGCGGAAGAGAUAAGUGCUGAAAGCAUCUAAGCACGAAACUUGCCCCGAGAUGAGUUCUCCCUGACUCCUUGAGAGUCCUGAAGGAACGUUGAAGACGACGACGUUGAUAGGCCGGGUGUGUAAGCGCAGCGAUGCGUUGAGCUAACCGGUACUAAUGAACCGUGAGGCUUAACCUUACAACGCCGAAGGUGUUU